GGACGAACGCUGGCGGCGUGCUUAACACAUGCAAGUCGAACGAUGAACCUCCUUCGGGAGGGGAUUAGUGGCGAACGGGUGAGUAACACGUGGGCAAUCUGCCCUUCACUCUGGGACAAGCCCUGGAAACGGGGUCUAAUACCGGAUACGACACGGGGUCGCAUGACCUCCGUGUGGAAAGCUCCGGCGGUGAAGGAUGAGCCCGCGGCCUAUCAGCUUGUUGGUGGGGUGAUGGCCUACCAAGGCGACGACGGGUAGCCGGCCUGAGAGGGCGACCGGCCACACUGGGACUGAGACACGGCCCAGACUCCUACGGGAGGCAGCAGUGGGGAAUAUUGCACAAUGGGCGAAAGCCUGAUGCAGCGACGCCGCGUGAGGGAUGACGGCCUUCGGGUUGUAAACCUCUUUCAGCAGGGAAGAAGCGAGAGUGACGGUACCUGCAGAAGAAGCGCCGGCUAACUACGUGCCAGCAGCCGCGGUAAUACGUAGGGCGCAAGCGUUGUCCGGAAUUAUUGGGCGUAAAGAGCUCGUAGGCGGCUUGUCGCGUCGGAUGUGAAAGCCCGGGGCUUAACCCCGGGUCUGCAUUCGAUACGGGCAGGCUAGAGUUCGGUAGGGGAGAUCGGAAUUCCUGGUGUAGCGGUGAAAUGCGCAGAUAUCAGGAGGAACACCGGUGGCGAAGGCGG
rnacentral:rRNA from 1 species